rnacentral:rRNA from 2 species
UGAUCAGGUAGUGACGGUAUCAAACCAGAAAGCCCACGGCUUACUACGUGCCAGCAGCCGCGGUAAUACGUAGGUGGCAAGCGUUGUCCGGAUUUAUUGGGCGUAAAGCGAGCGCAGGCGGUUUCUUAAGUCUGAUGUGAAAGCUUUCGGCUCAACCGAAGAAGUGCAUCGGAAACUGGGAAACUUGAGUGCAGAAGAGGACAGUGGAACUCCAUGUGUAGCGGUGAAAUGCGUAGAUAUAUGGAAGAACACCAGUGGCGAAGGCGGCUGUCUGGUCUGUAACUGACGCUGAGGCUCGAAAGCAUGGGUAGCAAACAGGAUUAGAUACCCUGGUAGUCCAUGCCGUAAACGAUGAGUGCUAGGUGUUGGAGGGUUUCCGCCCUUCAGUGCCGCAGCUAACGCAUUAAGCACUCCGCCUGGGGAGUACGACCGCAAGGUUGAAACUCAAAGGAAUUGACGGGGGCCCGCACAAGCGGUGGAGCAUGUGGUUUAAUUCGAAGCAACGCGAAGAACCUUACCAGGUCUUGACAUCCUUUGACCACUCUAGAGAUAGAGCUUUCCCUUCGGGGACAAAGUGACAGGUGGUGCAUGGUUGUCGUCAGCUCGUGUCGUGAGAUGUUGGGUUAAGUCCCGCAACGAGCGCAACCCUUAUUACUAGUUGCCAGCAUUUAGUUGGGCACUCUAGUGAGACUGCCGGUGACAAACCGGAGGAAGGUGGGGACGACGUCAAAUCAUCAUGCCCCUUAUGACCUGGGCUACACACGUGCUACAAUGGAUGGUACAACGAGUCGCGAGACCGCGAGGUUUAGCUAAUCUCUUAAAACCAUUCUCAGUUCGGAUUGUAGGCUGCAACUCGCCUACAUGAAGCCGGAAUCGCUAGUAAUCGCGGAUCAGCAUGCCGCGGUGAAUACGUUCCCGGGCCUUGUACACACCGCCCGUCACACCAUGAGAGUUUGUAACACCCAAAGCCGGUGAGGUAACCUUCGGGAGCCAGCCGUAUAAGGUGGGACAGAUGAUUAG